rnacentral:misc_RNA from 1 species
UCCGGUUUAACACCGGCAGUCUCUCCAGAGUCCUCGGCCGAGCCGUUAGCAACUGGAGACAAGGGUUUCGCUCGUUACGGGACUUAACCCAACAUCUCACGACACGAGCUGACGACAGCCAUGCAGCACCUGUACGGGGUUCCGGGCUGGAUACCGUUCGUCCCCCUUUCGGGUUUCUACUUCCCCGCGCUUUCGCACAUGUCAAGCCCAGGAUAAGGUUCUUCGCGUAGCCUCGAAUUAAGCCACAUGCUCCACCGCUUGUGUGAGCCCCCGUCAAUUCCUUUGAGUUUUAGCCUUGCGGCCGUACUCCCCAGGCGGGGCGCUUAAUGCGUUAGCUACGGCACGGAUCCCGUGGAAGGAAACCCACACCUAGCGCCCACCGUUUACGGCGUGGACUAC